rnacentral:lncRNA from 1 species
GCCGGUAUUUUCAUUUUUCUGGCUUUUGAUAUAAGAAUAUAGCUUUCGUUGGUGUAUUUUUGAAGCAUGGUUGGUUUGGUUGCUGUAUUUCAAUAUCAAAGAUCAUAUUUUCUAUAUAUUGCCAGUAAGAGUUUCUUAUUUUUUUUUUUUGGAGCUUGGUUUAAAUUUCUUAAUAUUGUUUUUUGUACUUGCGAUUUCCUUUUUUCUUUUUGUUUUUUUGUUUUUCUUGUUACUUAGCUAUUUAGUUGGUUAUUUACCCAAGGUAGUUUUGAUUUAUGACUAAUGCUUUUUUAGGAAUAUUCUUAUCAAUAUACUUUUGGAUGUUUGUCUUUAAAGUAUUCAAUAGUUCACCGAGACUCAUUUUAUAUUGAUCUUGUUUUAGCUGUUUGUAUGUUUCAGUGAGUUUUUUUUUCUAUUUGGUCCCAAAUUGCCUUUUUGUAGUUUAAUAUUAUGUUAGCCUGUUGUUUAUUUU